rnacentral:lncRNA from 1 species
ACAGAAAGACCUUAAGGGAAUUUAAAUUUCUUUUUAAAACCAGUUUUCAAAUGUUUGUUUUUAUUAAUGUUUGUACUUAAAGAGCUUCAAUUUAAAAUUAUUUCUAAGCAAAGCCUGACAAUGUAAAGUUCUUGUUUUAUAAAAGAUGCUAAUCUGUUACAGUUUGUGUUUUCAGAAGUUAAGUUUAGGAUGUUGAUAGCACACACCUUUAAGCUCAGGGUGUAGAUGGCACACGCCUUUAAUCCCACCAUUCGGGAGGAAGAGGCAGAUGGAUCCUUAUGAGUUCAAGGCCUGCCUGGUCCGGCAGAUCGAAUUCCAGGACAGGCUCCAAAGUCACAGAAAAACCCUGCCUCAGAAAGAAGUUAAGCUACUGUUUAAAAAAUAUAAGGUAGCUCUAUAUAGUUUUAAGUUCAGCUGUAUUACAGAAAGACUUUAACUAGCCACCUGUGUGCUUCUUGUAUGCUUAAGGCAAGUAAUUAAAACAGACCUCUAAUGCUUCAGAGAUCUUCAGAAUAUGGCAUUUAAAUUGUUAUCUUUAAAGUUUAUAAUGUCAGACAGACCGCCAGAUCCGGACAGUGACCCAAAGUCUCCAAAGAAGAUUACGAGGCACCUCAGUUCCUGCACCUGGACCAGUGAGCGAGAUGCUCAGAUGUGAAACCUGCCGCCUGCCAGAACCUGGCCGAGACUGGACAAAGCUACUGGACACUGGAAAAUUGAUUGCACCCCUUUGCCUAGACAAAACAAGGUUUCUGCUUCUGGCUGACAUCUGAGUAUCAGUUGCUGAUUACAGGCUGUUCUAAGUAGACUGCGAGCCCUGGACUUGCUGUGGAUGUAAACCAGUCCAGCUGAUGUGGACACCCCCUGUCUCUGCAACAGUGUCUUCUAACCAGAAGCCCCUGAUAAAUUCCCCAUUGCCUAAAUUCCUUUUUGCUUUUGACUAGCAUUUCAACCUUCUGGGGUCCCUAACUUCGUCCCAAAGUCAGCAGGAAGCAGUUUGGAAAAGAAUUUCGC